AGAGUUUGAUCCUGGCUCAGGAUCAACGCUGGCGGCGUGCCUAAUGCAUGCAAGUCGAGCGGGGUGAUCUUCGGAUCACUUACGCGGCGGACGGGUGCGGAACACGUGGGCAACCUGCCCCGAGGUGGGGGAUAGCCGGUGGAAACACCGGGUAAUUCCGCAUACGGUCAUCAGUCGGAGGACUGGUGAGGAAAGGGUCUUCGGACUCGCCUUGGGAGGGGCCUGCGGCCGAUUAGCUAGACGGUGGGGUAACGGCCUACCGUGGCGAUGAUCGGUAGCUGGUCUGAGAGGACGGCCAGCCACACGGGGACUGAGACACGGCCCCGACUCCUACGGGAGGCAGCAGCAAGGAAUCUUCCGCAAUGGGCGAAAGCCUGACGGAGCAACGCCGCGUGUGGGAUGACGCCUUUCGGGGUGUAAACCACUUUUCUCAGGGAAGAAAUCUUGACGGUACCUGAGGAAUAAGGACCGGCUAACUACGUGCCAGCAGCCGCGGUAAUACGUAGGGUCCGAGCGUUGUCCGGAGUUACUGGGCGUAAAGCGCGCGCAGGCGGCGGUAUAAGCAUGGCGUGAAAGCCCCAGGCUCAACCUGGGAGGGUCGUCGUGGACUGUACCGCUUGAGGGCGAUAGGGGCUGGUGGAAUGCCUGGUGUAGUGGUGAAAUGCGUAGAGAUCAGGCGGAACACCCGUGGCGAAGGCGGCCAGCUGGGUCGUCCCUGACGCUGAGGCGCGAAGGCGUGGGGAGCGAACGGGAUUAGAUACCCCGGUAGUCCACGCAGUAAACGAUGCAGACUAGGCGUGGGGGGAGUUGACCCCCUCCGUGCCGGAGCUAACGCGGGAAGUCUGCCGCCUGGGGAGUACGGCCGCAAGGCUAAAACUCAAAGGAAUUGACGG
rnacentral:rRNA from 1 species